rnacentral:lncRNA from 1 species
GUUGUUUUGGACUAAGUGUGUGCCCCUAAUACAAUCAACCAAAGUUGAACAUGGUAGAAAAUACGCCUAUGGGCGCAGAAAGGCAUUGUUCUGGAUUAUGGGCCAUGGAGAUGGAAGGUACUGUUCCUGAUCUGAAGGAAUUCAUAUCAAGGAGCGAAGAAGGAAACAAAUAAUUAUGAUGCUCUUGACAGAAAAAGGAGGCAUAAGGAGUAAAAUGGCACAGGGCUAGACCACCUGGUUUCUAGUUCAUGUUAUGCUGUUAAUAAGUGAUGGAACUUCUAGCAAAGCACUGAACCACCUGGGUCUCAGGUACUAUAGAUCUUUCACAAAUGGGAAGGGGGCCAAGAGAUGAAGAUGGGGGGCAUAAAAAAAAUGAAGUUGGGGGCCGUGGAUUUAGCUCAGUGGUUUCACCGUCUGCUGCUCAAGCGCAAGGACCUGAGUUCGAUCCCUGGUACCAAAAAAAAAAAAAAAAGAAUGAAGAUGUGUUUUGUUACGUACCACCUCCCCAUGAUGAAUGUAAUCAUUGUGUACUGCAAACAUACUAAUACAAAUUUUAAGAGGACCAAUGUAAAC